CGGACGGGUGAGUAACACGUGAGCAACCUGGCUCUAAGAGGGGGACGAACAGUUGGAAACGACUGCUAAUACCGCAUAACGUAUCGGGAUGGCAUCUUCCUGAUACCAAAGAUUUUAUCGCUUAGAGAUGGGCUCGCGUCUGAUUAGAUAGUUGGCGGGGUAACGGCCCACCAAGUCGACGAUCAGUAGCCGGACUGAGAGGUUGAACGGCCACAUUGGGACUGAGACACGGCCCAGACUCCUACGGGAGGCAGCAUG
rnacentral:rRNA from 1 species